CGUGAGGAACCUACCUUCAACUGGGGAAUAACUGCCAGAAAUGGCAGCUAAUACCGCAUGUGGUUCUGCAUCGGCAUCGGUGAAGAACUAAAGAUUUAUCGGUUGGAGACGGCCUCGCGGCCUAUUAGCUUGUUGGUGGGGUAAUGGCCUACCAAGGCGAUGAUGGGUAGCUGGUCUGAGAGGACGAUCAGCCGGACUGGGACUGAGAUACGGCCCAG
rnacentral:rRNA from 1 species